rnacentral:rRNA from 1 species
GAUGAACGCUAGCUACAGGCUUAACACAUGCAAGUCGAGGGGAAACGCCAUCGAAAGCUUGCUUUUGAUGGGCGUCGACCGGCGCACGGGUGAGUAACGCGUAUCCAACCUGCCCAUCACUUGGGGAUAACCUUGCGAAAGUAAGACUAAUACCCAAUGAUAUCUCUAGAAGACAUCUGAAAGAGAUUAAAGAUUUAUCGGUGAUGGAUGGGGAUGCGUCUGAUUAGCUUGUUGGCGGGGUAACGGCCCACCAAGGCAACGAUCAGUAGGGGUUCUGAGAGGAAGGUCCCCCACAUUGGAACUGAGACACGGUCCAAACUCCUACGGGAGGCAGCAGUGAGGAAUAUUGGUCAAUGGGCAAGAGCCUGAACCAGCCAAGUAGCGUGCAGGAAGACGGCCCUAUGGGUUGUAAACUGCUUUUAGAAGGGAAUAAAGUGAGAGUCGUGACUCUUUUUGUAUGUACCUUAUGAAUAAGGACCGGCUAAUUCCGUG